rnacentral:lncRNA from 1 species
GACGUUGCUCUUGCUCACCAAUGUGCGCAUGAGGUUGUUUAUCAGAGACAGGACAGUCGGUUCCUCCAGAGAGAAACCAGUAUCUGCUGAAGGGAACAUAAAGGAGAGGAAGAGACCUCAUUGUCUUCAAUUUCCGUUAAUUGAUUCCUAAGGAACCACGCUGUGACACGCGACAAAUGAGGGGCACCAAGGAUGCUCCACCGCCCAGAGGGAAACAUCCGUCAGAUGACUGUCCUUCUGGGAUGAAGAAAAGAGAAAACACAGUCCUUUCAGGUCAGUUGAAAAGGCUCUGAUGACUCGCCACGGG